UACAGAGGGGGCAAGCGUUGUUCGGAAUUACUGGGCGUAAAGGGCGCGUAGGCGGCCACCUAAGUCAGACGUGAAAUCCCGAGGCUCAACCUCGGAACUGCCUUUGAUACUGGGUGUCUUGAGUAUGGAAGAGGUAAGUGGAAUUGCGAGUGUAGAGGUGAAAUUCGUAGAUAUUCGCAGGAACACCAGUGGCGAAGGCGGCUUACUGGUCCAUUACUGACGCUGAGGUGCGAAAGCGUGGGGAGCAAACAGG
rnacentral:rRNA from 1 species